AGACCCACUGUGGUAUUUCUGUGAGUAGACCCACUAUGGUAUUUCUGUGAGUAGACCCACUGUGGUAUUUAUGUGAGUAAGUAGACCCACUGUGGUAUUUAUGUGAGUAAGUAGACCCACUGUGGUAUUUAUGUGAGUAAACCCACUGUGUUAUUUAUGUGAGUAGACCCACUGUGUUAUUUGGAGAACAAGAUGUUGAAAGGGGAGGGACAUGUCUGGCUUGGUGGCUUGUGCCUGGAAGGAAGCUGAGACAGGAAGAUUACUUCAAGUUCAAGGUUAGCCCAAGCUAUAUAGUGAAUUCCAGGCCAGUCUGGGGUCCAGAGUAAGACGUUGUCUUCAGAAAUG